UGGGGGAUAUUGCACAAUGGGCGAAAGCCUGAUGCAGCGACGCCGCGUGGGGGAUGAAGGCCUUCGGGUUGUAAACUUCUUUUGCUCUGAACAAGGCAUGCUAAUGGGUGUGUUGAGUGUAGGGGUUGAUUAGCGCCGGCUAACUACGUGCCAGCAGCCGCGGUAAUACGUAGGGCGCGAGCGUUGUCCGGAAUUAUUGGGCGUAAAGGGCUUGUAGGUGGCUGGUUGCGUCUGUCGUGAAAGCUCAUGGCUUAACUGUGGGUUUGAGGUGGGUACGGGCUGGCUUGAGUGCAGUAGUGGAGGCUGGAAUUCCUGGUGUAGCGGUGGAAUGCGCAGAUAUCAGGAGGAAUACCGGUGGCGAAGGCGGGUCUCUGGGCUGUUACUGACACUGAGGAGCGAAAGCAUGGGGAGCGAACAGG
rnacentral:rRNA from 1 species